rfam:Aspergillus versicolor CBS 583.65 unplaced genomic scaffold ASPVEscaffold_1, whole genome shotgun sequence.
GGCCGGCUGGCCCAAUGGCAAGGCGUUUGACUACGAAUCAAAAGAUUGCAGGUUCGAUCCCUGCGUCGGUCA